UGUUUCAUAAAGUUACCAUCUCAUUCUUAGAUGGUAUGUGUACGAGCUGUGACUCGUUUUUAUUCAUGAUACUAAUAUUUCGGGUACAUACUGCUACAAAAAUAAUGAAUGAAGAACUUAACAAGCUUCUGCAUGAAGGAGACGUGGACAAAAGGCCAAUUUUGCUAAACAAUUAUAUGAUUGGCUCUAGUUUUAAAGCCCACAAGUGCAGCCAUGGAGCUGAGAAAGUACGCGAACUUUUUAAUACCUAUAUGACAAUAAGUGAAGUAAUUAAGACAGUGAUGGAGACCGGAGAAGUGGGCGUAUUUUUAUACAUUAUGUCUAAGCUUGUACGUUUAAUGACUAGGGUCUACAACUAUGCUCAUUGGCAUUUUGCGUUCCAAGACGUGG